CGGGGUGUAGCGCAGUCCGGUUAGCGUACCUGGUUUGGGACCAGGUGGUCGUAGGUUCGAAUCCUACCACCCCGACCA
rnacentral:tRNA from 1 species